rnacentral:rRNA from 1 species
AGAGUUUGAUCAUGGCUCAGAUUGAACGCUGGCGGCAGGCCUAACACAUGCAAGUCGAACGGUAACAGGAAGUAGCUUGCUGCUUUGCUGACGAGUGGCGGACGGGUGAGUAAUGUCUGGGAAACUGCCUGAUGGAGGGGGAUAACUACUGGAAACGGUAGCUAAUACCGCAUAACGUCGCAAGACCAAAGAGGGGGACCUUCGGGCCUCUUGCCAUCGGAUGUGCCCAGAUGGGAUUAGCUUGUUGGUGGGGUAACGGCUCACCAAGGCGACGAUCCCUAGCUGGUCUGAGAGGAUGACCAGCCACACUGGAACUGAGACACGGUCCAGACUCCUACGGGAGGCAGCAGUGGGGAAUAUUGCACAAUGGGCGCAAGCCUGAUGCAGCCAUGCCGCGUGUAUGAAGAAGGCCUUCGGGUUGUAAAGUACUUUCAGCGGGGAGGAAGGGAGUAAAGUUAAUACCUUUGCUCAUUGACGUUACCCGCAGAAGAAGCACCGGCUAACUCCGUGCCAGCAGCCGCGGUAAUACGGAGGGUGCAAGCGUUAAUCGGAAUUACUGGGCGUAAAGCGCACGCAGGCGGUUUGUUAAGUCAGAUGUGAAAUCCCCGGGCUCAACCUGGGAACUGCAUCUGAUACUGGCAAGCUUGAGUCUCGUAGAGGGGGGUAGAAUUCCAGGUGUAGCGGUGAAAUGCGUAGAGAUCUGGAGGAAUACCGGUGGCGAAGGCGGCCCCCUGGACGAAGACUGACGCUCAGGUGCGAAAGCGUGGGGAGCAAACAGGAUUAGAUACCCUGGUAGUCCACGCCGUAAACGAUGUCGACUUGGAGGUUGUGCCCUUGAGGCGUGGCUUCCGGAGCUAACGCGUUAAGUCGACCGCCUGGGGAGUACGGCCGCAAGGUUAAAACUCAAAUGAAUUGACGGGGGCCCGCACAAGCGGUGGAGCAUGUGGUUUAAUUCGAUGCAACGCGAAGAACCUUACCUGGUCUUGACAUCCACGGAAGUUUUCAGAGAUGAGAAUGUGCCUUCGGGAACCGUGAGACAGGUGCUGCAUGGCUGUCGUCAGCUCGUGUUGUGAAAUGUUGGGUUAAGUCCCGCAACGAGCGCAACCCUUAUCCUUUGUUGCCAGCGGUCCGGCCGGGAACUCAAAGGAGACUGCCAGUGAUAAACUGGAGGAAGGUGGGGAUGACGUCAAGUCAUCAUGGCCCUUACGACCAGGGCUACACACGUGCUACAAUGGCGCAUACAAAGAGAAGCGACCUCGCGAGAGCAAGCGGACCUCAUAAAGUGCGUCGUAGUCCGGAUUGGAGUCUGCAACUCGACUCCAUGAAGUCGGAAUCGCUAGUAAUCGUGGAUCAGAAUGCCACGGUGAAUACGUUCCCGGGCCUUGUACACACCGCCCGUCACACCAUGGGAGUGGGUUGCAAAAGAAGUAGGUAGCUUAACCUUCGGGAGGGCGCUUACCACUUUGUGAUUCAUGACUGGGGUGAAGUCGUAACAAGGUAACCGUAGGGGAACCUGCGGUUGGAUCACCU